GGCGGGCGACCCGCGCCGCUCGCUCGGAGCCUUUUUCGGAGGGGGGAGAGCAGGGAUUCCUCCUUAAUUCUCCCCAAACCCCUCUCGUUAUUUUUUCUUCCUCGCUGCAUCGGUGCAGAAGUGCCAGUUUUCCUCUCUAAAAAGUUUCCUUGAUGGGAUUAACUUUUCUUUUUUUUUAAAUCCCCCUUCUCCUUGAUUUAUUUCAUUCCCAGAGGUAACAGCCAGCGGGUGUUUUUGCUCGCGGUGAGGUGCUUGCUGUGGAAGUGGGUCUCUGUGCCGGGGUGCGUGGGUAUAAAUCGGAGAAGUCCGAACAAAGCCCCAGCGGCGGUUGCUUCGCUGUGGGAUGUUUGGAGGGGCUCUYGCUAACCGGUGCGCCCUGGCUGGCGUUAAAACAGAACCAAAAUGGAGAAGUUGGUUCUGACUUAAAAAAAGAUCGUAUUCCCGUCUUCCUUUCCCACAGCUCCAGCCCGCGGGGCUGGCACCAGCCGAUCUGCGGGCAGAAAGAUGACUGAUGUUUUGAGAAGGGAAAGUUUUGCUGUUUGGCUCAGGAGGGAGAGGGAAAUCWGCCUCGGGGAUUUUACAGCGCUGCUUGGGGUUGUAUUCCUGGGAUACAGAGGGAUGAAGGGGACUGAGGAGAUGCACCCCUAUUCUCGCUACUCGGGGAGCAGCAAUUGCAUUUCACUGUAAGGAGCUGGCACCAGCCGGUGACGGAGCUGAGGUGCCUGCGCCUCCGCCGCGCAGGGGAGCUUCGAUCCUGCGGGGAGCUGAGCCCGGUGGGGCUGCGCGCCUGGGGAAACGUGGUGUGUGUGGGGAGCGCCCUGGGCCCCAGUGCUGCCUACCAGGGGGGCUGGGAAGCAGAGGAUGCGCUGGGAUUUCUGACAAAAAGCAAAAGUGUCACCCGAAAAAAGAAAAAAAGGAACAGCCGACGCAGAAAGCCCGGCAGGGGAAACGUUUCUCCCACGAGAACCUGUGUCUCGCUCUCCGGAACAGCCGUAAAAUUKCAGGGGAAACAAAGGAGCUGAAGAAACAAAUUUCAGCAGACUGUGACAAGGGAAGGAGCUGCAUCUUGGCUCCAUGUUAA
rnacentral:lncRNA from 1 species